rnacentral:rRNA from 1 species
GAUGAACGCUGGCGGCGUGCCUAAUACAUGCAAGUCGAGCGAACAGACGAGGAGCUUGCUCCUCUGACGUUAGCGGCGGACGGGUGAGUAACACGUGGAUAACCUACCUAUAAGACUGGGAUAACUUCGGGAAACCGGAGCUAAUGCCGGAUAAUAUAUUGAACCGCAUGGUUCAAUAGUGAAAGACGGUUUUGCUGUCACUUAUAGAUGGAUCCGCGCCGCAUUAGCUAGUUGGUAAGGUAACGGCUUACCAAGGCGACGAUGCGUAGCCGACCUGAGAGGGUGAGCGGCCACACUGGAACUGAGACACGGUCCAGACUCCUACGGGAGGCAGCAGUAGGGAAUCUUCCGCAAUGGGCGAAAGCCUGACGGAGCAACGCCGCGUGAGUGAUGAAGGUCUUCGGAUCGUAAAACUCUGUUAUUAGGGAAGAACAAAUGUGUAAGUAACUAUGCACGUCUUGACGGUACCUAAUCAGAAAGCCACGGCUAACUACGUG